UACGAAGGGGGCUAGCGUUGCUCGGAAUGACUGGGCGUAAAGGGCGCGUAGGCGGAUGGCUUUGUCGGGCGUGAAAUUCCAGGGCUUAACCUUGGGGCUGCGUUCGAGACGGGUUGUCUUGAGUGGGGAAGAGGGUCGUGGAAUUCCCAGUGUAGAGGUGAAAUUCGUAGAUAUUCGGAAGAACACCAGUGGCGAAGGCGGCACACUGGCCCAUUACUGACGCUGAGGCUCGAAAGCGUGGGGAGCAAACAGG
rnacentral:rRNA from 1 species